GACGAACGCUGGCGGCGUGCUUAACACAUGCAAGUCGAGCGGUAAGGCCCUUUUGGGGGUACACGAGCGGCGAACGGGUGAGUAACACGUGGGUGACCUGCCCUCAGCUCUGGGAUAAGCCUGGGAAACUGGGUCUAAUACCGGAUAUGACUCCAUGACGCAUGUUGUGGGGUGGAAAGCCUUGUGCGGCUAGGGAUGGGCCCGCGGCCUAUCAGCUUGUUGGUGGGGUGAUGGCCACCAAGGCGACGACGGUAGCCGGCCUGAGAGGGCGGACCGGCCACACUGGGACGUGAGACACGGCCCAGACUCCUACGGGAGGCAGCAGUGGGGAAUCUUGCGCAAUGGGCGAAAGCCUGACGCAGCGACGCCGCGUGAGGGAUGGCGGCCU
rnacentral:rRNA from 1 species